UACGUAGGGUGCAAGCGUUGUCCGGAAUUAUUGGGCGUAAAGAGCUCGUAGGCGGUUUGUCGCGUCUGCUGUGAAAACGCGAGGCUCAACCUCGCGCCUGCAGUGGGUACGGGCAGACUAGAGUGCGGUAGGGGAGAUUGGAAUUCCUGGUGUAGCGGUGGAAUGCGCAGAUAUCAGGAGGAACACCGAUGGCGAAGGCAGGUCUCGUGGGCCACUACUGACGCUGAGAAGCGAAAGCAUGGGGAGCGAACAGG
rnacentral:rRNA from 1 species